AUUUUAGUGACAGAUGAAAAAAAUAAAAUAUACCAGUCAGAAUUUGUAUCUAAAUACAGCGAACACUUGGAAAAACUAAUGUUAAAGAUUGAAGAAAGCGAAGAAGAAAAUAAACAUUAUAUACCCGCUGAUAGAACAAGAAGAAUCCCGUUCGAAUGGUGUAUGUUUACUGUCGUGCAGGAAACUAUAGAUUUAUGAAAUAUAAUAUAUUUUAUAAUUUUCAAUUACGU